GUGCUCGCUUUGGCAGCACAUAUACUAAAAUUGGAAUGAUACAGAGAAGAUUAGCAUGGGCCCUGCACAAGGAUGACACGCAAAUUCAUGAAGCGUUGCAUAUUUUU
ensembl:snRNA U6 U6 spliceosomal RNA